AUUGAACGCUGGCGGCAGGCUUAACACAUGCAAGUCGAGCGGAGAUGAGGUGCUUGCACCUUAUCUUAGCGGCGGACGGGUGAGUAAUGCUUAGGAAUCUGUCUAUUAGUGGGGGACAACAUUCCGAAAGGAAUGCUAAUACCGCAUACGUCCUACGGGAGAAAGCAGGGGAUCUUCGGACCUUGCGCUAAUAGAUGAGCCUAAGUCGGAUGAGCUAGUUGGUGGGGUAAAGGCCUACCAAGGCGACGAUCUGUAGCGGGUCUGAGAGGAUGGUCCGCCACACUGGGACUGAGACACGGCCCAGACUCCUACGGGAGGCAGCAGUGGGGAAUAUUGGACAAUGGGGGGAACCCUGAUCCAGCCAUGCCGCGUGUGUGAAGAAGGCCUUAUGGUUGUAAAGCACUUUAAGCGAGGAGGAGGCUACUGAGACUAAUACUCUUGGAUAGUGGACGUUACUCGCAGAAUAAGCACCGGCUAACUCUGUGCCAGCAGCCGCCGCGGUA
rnacentral:rRNA from 1 species